rnacentral:tRNA from 1 species
GGGUCGUUAGCUCAGUUGGUAGAGCAGUUGACUUUUAGUCAAUUGGUCGGAGGUUCGAAUCCUGCACGACCCACCA